UUGGGGCGUAGCCAAGCGGUAAGGCACCGGAUUUUGAUUCCGGCAUUCCCAGGUUCGAUCCCUGGCGCCCCAGCCAA
rnacentral:tRNA from 1 species